rnacentral:misc_RNA from 1 species
CGAAUGGGUCCGUUAGUGACGAAAUCACGAAACUUCUUCCAUUUCUUCUAAAGACACUGAGCGGAAAGGUCCAGUUUUACUCAUUCUGCCAGGUGAAGUCUGCGCUUCUUUGUUGCAGUCAUCCAGUGAAAGGUGUGUUAAAUUGAGCUGUUGCAUGCAGUCUUUGGUGCUGAUUUUGUCCUGGAAUGUGGGAGAGUUCCAUGCUUCAAGUCUUCUGGGAUCAGCCAUAUCUGAGUUGACGCUGGAUCAUGCUGCAUUGUGGUUGCCGAAAUGUUGGACAUCUAGUAGAACUGCAAGAAGACUCCUUGAAAUGGUUUAUGUUUACGUGAUGUUGCUGUCCAAUAUGGCAUGUAGUUGCAGCCUAUACUGGUGAAAGAUUUUUUGCAUCGAGUUAUGCUGUUGCUGUUCCUUGGUGCCGGACUGCUGGUGUUGUGCACAAAAGUUACAUCCAUUUUUAAUUGUUAUUUGUAUCUAUUCAGUUAACCGCUUAUAUGUUGAAAAGGAACAGAAAAGUUCCUUGGUGUUGAAUCGCUGCAUGG